UCGACAGUAGCUCAAUGGUGGAGCAUUCGGCUGUUAACCGAAGGGUUGCAGGUUCAAGUCCUGCCUGUCGAGC
rnacentral:tRNA from 1 species